rnacentral:rRNA from 1 species
UAGAACGCUGAGAACUGGUGCUUGCACCGGUUCAAGGAGUUGCGAACGGGUGAGUAACGCGUAGGUAACCUACCUCAUAGCGGGGGAUAACUAUUGGAAACGAUAGCUAAUACCGCAUAAGAGAGACUAACGCAUGUUAGUAAUUUAAAAGGGGCAAUUGCUCCACUAUGAGAUGGACCUGCGUUGUAUUAGCUAGUUGGUGAGGUAAAGGCUCACCAAGGCGACGAUACAUAGCCGACCUGAGAGGGUGAUCGGCCACACUGGGACUGAGACACGGCCCAGACUCCUACGGGAGGCAGCAGUAGGGAAUCUUCGGCAAUGGGGGCAACCCUGACCGAGCAACGCCGCGUGAGUGAAGAAGGUUUUCGGAUCGUAAAGCUCUGUUGUUAGAGAAGAAUGAUGGUGGGAGUGGAAAAUCCACCAAGUGACGGUAACUAACCAGAAAGGGACGGCUAACUACGUGCCAGCAGCCGCGGUAAUACGUAGGUCCCGAGCGUUGUCCGGAUUUAUUGGGCGUAAAGCGAGCGCAGGCGGUUUUUUAAGUCUGAAGUUAAAGGCAUUGGCUCAACCAAUGUACGCUUUGGAAACUGGAGAACUUGAGUGCAGAAGGGGAGGGUGGAAUUCCAUGUGUAGCGGUGAAAUGCGUAGAUAUAUGGAGGAACACCGGUGGCGAAAGCGGCUCUCUGGUCUGUAACUGACGCUGAGGCUCGAAAGCGUGGGGAGCAAAC